GAGUUAUCUGACCUUCGGGGAACGAUAACGGCGUCUAGCGGCGGACGGGUGAGUAAUGCCUAGGAAAUUGCCCUGAUGUGGGGGAUAACCAUUGGAAACGAUGGCUAAUACCGCAUGAUGCCUACGGCCAAAGAGGGGGACCUUCGGGCCUCUCGCGUCAGGAUAUGCCUAGGUGGGAUUAGCUAGUUGGUGAGUAAGGGCUCACCAAGGCGACGAUCCCUAGCUGGUCUGAGAGGAUGAUCAGCCACACUGGAACUGAGACCGGUCCAGACUCCUACGGGAGGCAGCAGUGGGGAAUAUUGCACAAUGGGCGCAAGCCUGAUGCAGCCAUCCGCGUGUGUGAAGAAGGCCUUCGGGUUGUAAAGCACUUUCAGUCGUGAGGAAGGUGGUGUAGUUAAUAGUGCAUUAUUUGACGUUAGCUGCAGAAGAAGCACCGGCUAACUCCGUGCCAGCAGCCGCGGUAAUACGGGGGUGCGAGCGUUAAUCGGAAUUACUGGGCGUAAAGCGCAUGCAGGUGGUUUGUUAAGUCAGAUGUGAAACCCGGGGCUCAACCUCGGAAUUGCAUUUGAAACUGGCAGACUAGAGUACUGUAGAGGGGGGGUAGAAUUCAGUGUAGCGGUGAAAUGCGUAGAGAUCUGAAGGAAUACCGGUGGCGAAGGCGGCCCCCUGGACAGAUCUGACACUCAGAUGCGAAAGGCGUGGGGAGCAAACAAGGAUUAGAUACCCUGGUAGUCCACGCC
rnacentral:rRNA from 1 species